CACAGAUUCUCAUCUCCAGGAUCAUCAGAGCAAGUUAAAAGAUACUACAGUAGAAAGAAAGAGAGACAGACAGACAGACAGGGAAGCAAACUUGCUCCCUGCACUGGAGUUGUUUGGCGGAUUGGCACUAAGCCACUAACAGUAACAGGGGCUGGACUUCUCACCUUUACGCUAAAAGCCGGACUGGGAGGGCAAAAAGCGACCGGGUCCCUUUUGAGAAUCCAAGGAGAUCAAACCAGCAGCCAGGCUCCAGCAUCUCUCUCUUCCUCUUCUCCCUCGAUGUGUGCAGUGGAACAACGGACACUGAACGUGUGGAGAUGGAGACUGUCUG
rnacentral:misc_RNA from 1 species